rnacentral:rRNA from 1 species
UACAGAGGUCUCAAGCGUUGUUUCGGAUUCAGUUGGGCGUAAAGGGUGCGUAGGCGGCGCGGUAAGUCGGGAUCGUGAAAUCUCGGGGCUUAACUCCGAAACUGCAUUCGAUACUGCCGUGCUUGAGGACUGGGAGAGGAGACUGGAAAUUUACGGUGUAGCGGUGAAAUGCGUAGAUAUCGUAAGGAAGACCAGUGGCGAAGGCGGGUCUCUGGACAGUUCCUGACGCUGAGGCACGGAAGGCCCAGGGGGAGCAA